CCUACGGGAGGCAGCAGUGAGGAAUAUUGGUCAAUGGGCGAGAGCCUGAACCAGCCAAGUCGCGUGAAGGAUGAAGGAUCUAUGGUUUGUAAACUUCUUUUAUAUGGGAAUAAAGUGAGGAACGUGUUCCUGUUUGUAUGUACCAUAUGAAUAAGCAUCGGCUAACUCCGUGCCAGCAGCCGCGGUAAUACGGAGGAUGCGAGCGUUAUCCGGAUUUAUUGGGUUUAAAGGGUGCGUAGGUUGUUUUUUAAGUCAGCGGUGAAAGUUUGUGGCUCAACCAUAAAAUUGCCGUUGAAACUGGAAGACUUGAGUGUGUUUGAGGUAGGCGGAAUGCGUGGUGUAGCGGUGAAAUGCAUAGAUAUCACGCAGAACUCCGAUUGCGAAGGCAGCUUACUAAGCCAUAACUGACACUGAAGCACGAAAGCGUGGGGAUCAAACAGGAUUAGAUACCCUUGUAGUC
rnacentral:rRNA from 1 species